rnacentral:rRNA from 1 species
UACAGAGGGGGCAAGCGUUGUUCGGAAUUACUGGGCGUAAAGGGCGCGUAGGCGGCCUGCUAAGUCGAACGUGAAAUCCCUGGGCUCAACCCAGGAACUGCGUCCGAUACUGGUUGGCUUGAAUCCGGGAGAGGGAUGUGGAAUUCCAGGUGUAGCGGUGAAAUGCGUAGAUAUCUGGAGGAACACCGGUGGCGAAGGCGGUUCUCUGGAACGCAACUGACGCUGAGACGCGAAAGCGUGGGGAGCAAACAGG